rnacentral:rRNA from 1 species
GAGCGAGCGAGAGGAGCCUCGGCCGCCAUGGGAUUCAUCAUGGAGUUCGCGGAGAACCUGAUCCUGCGGCUGAUGGAGGACCCGGAGCAGCGCGACGAGGCGCAGCGGGCGCACGUCUACCGGAUGAAGGAGCGGUGCGAGCGCACCAAGGCGGCCUGGGCGCUCCCGCUCCGCCCCUACGGCUUCUGGACCUUCGACCGCUUCAACUCCCAGCUCUCCUGGGACCCCCAGAUCAGCCAGGCCGCCGGCCGCCGCGACCCCUACGACGACCUCCUCGCCCGCCACGCCGGCCCCGCCCCGCCCUCCUCCUCCUGA